rnacentral:misc_RNA from 1 species
UACAGAGACCUCGAGCGUUAUCCGGUAUCAUUGGGCGUAAAGCGUCCGCAGGUGGUUUGGUUGGUCGAUGGUCAAAUCCUUGGGCUUAACUCGAGGACUGCUAUCGAUACCGCCAAACUUGAGGUCGGAAGAGGCAAGCGGAACUGCCGGUGUAGUCGUAAUAAGCGUUGAUAUCGGCAGGAACACCAAAGGCGAAGGCAGCUUGCUAGUACGUACCUGACACUCAUGGACGAAAGCGUGGGUAGCGAAUCGG